AGAGUUUGAUCAUGGCUCAGGACGAACGCUGGCGGCGUGCUUAACACAUGCAAGUCGAACGAGACGAUUGAAAGCUUGCUUUUGAAAGUCGAGUGGCAAACGGGUGAGUAACGCGUAGACAACCUGCCGUAAAGAUGGGGGCAACAGUCCGAAAGGACUGCUAAUACCGAAUGUUGUAAAUCUUCUGCAUGGGAGACUUACUAAAGGUGGCCUCUACUUGUAAGCUAUCGCUUUACGAUGGGUCUGCGUCUGAUUAGCUGGUUGGUGGGGUAACGGCCUACCAAGGCAACGAUCAGUAGCCGGUCUGAGAGGAUGAACGGCCACAUUGGAACUGGGACACGGUCCAGACUCCUACGGGAGGCAGCAGUGGGGAAUCUUCCGCAAUGGGCGCAAGCCUGACGGAGCAACGCCGCGUGAGUGAAGAAGGGUUUCGACUCGUAAAGCUCUGUUGUCGGGGACGAACGUGGAGACGGCGAAUAGCCGUUUCCAAUGACGGUACCUGACGAGGAAGCCACGGCUAACUACGUGCCAGCAGCCGCGGUAAUACGUAGGUGGCGAGCGUUGUCCGGAAUUAUUGGGCGUAAAGGGAGCGCAGGCGGGAAGGUAAGUCUAUCUUAAAAGUGCGGGGCUCAACCCCGUGAGGGGAUGGAAACUAUCUUUCUUGAGUGCAGGAGAGGAAAGCGGAAUUCCUAGUGUAGCGGUGAAAUGCGUAGAUAUUAGGAGGAACACCAGUGGCGAAGGCGGCUUUCUGGACUGUAACUGACGCUGAGGCUCGAAAGCGUGGGGAGCGAACAGGAUUAGAUACCCUGGUAGUCCGCACGGUAAACGAUGGAUGCCCGCUGUUGGUCUGAACAGGUCAGCGGCCAAGCGAAAGCAUUAAGCAUCCCACCUGGGGAGUACGCCGGCAACGGUGAAACUCAAAGGAAUUGACGGGGGCCCGCACAAGCGGAGGAACAUGUGGUUUAAUUCGAUGAUACGCGAGGAACCUUACCCGGGCUUGAAUUGCAGAGGAAGGAUUUGGAGACAAUGACGCCCUUCGGGGUCUCUGUGAAGGUGCUGCAUGGUUGUCGUCAGCUCGUGCCGUGAGGUGUCGGCUUAAGUGCCAUAACGAGCGCAACCCCUCUCCUUAGUUGCCAUCAGGUUAAGCUGGGCACUCUGGGGACACUGCCACCGUAAGGUGUGAGGAAGGUGGGGAUGACGUCAAAUCAGCACGGCCCUUACGUCCGGGGCUACACACGUGUUACAAUGGCAGGUACAGAGAGACGGUUGUACGUAAGUACGAUCAAAUCCUUAAAGCCUGUCUCAGUUCGGACUGGGGUCUGCAACCCGACCCCACGAAGCUGGAUUCGCUAGUAAUCGCGCAUCAGCCAUGGCGCGGUGAAUACGUUCCCGGGCCUUGUACACACCGCCCGUCAAGCCAUGAAAGCCGGGGGCGCCUAAAGUCCGUGACCGUAAGGAGCGGCCUAGGGCGAAACUGGUAAUUGGGGCUAAGUCGUAACAAGGUA
rnacentral:rRNA from 1 species